rnacentral:sRNA from 1 species
GGAAGGUUCGGGAUGGGAAAUGGCCCCCCUGGGGGUUCCCACCUCCGUUCGGUUUCAUUGGGCCAAGGGUUGGCACCGGAACCUUCGGGUAGAGUUUAACUUCUUGGUCGGGUUUCAAAGCGGGUCGGUUACGACCAUUAAGCCAAGGUUCCGAGCGGAAGGCGGUUCCUUGGUCCGGGCAGGCCGCAUUGCAACCUGGGUUAAAAGACGCCCCCGGAGGGGCGUUACCUUCCAGAGGCCUUUGACCGACCGGCCAAAACGGACGCUGCCCCGCUCGGGGGGAAGUACCCCGGCACGAAUGCCGGCUGAACCCCGCGAGGGAGUCUGGUCGCAAGCGCUUCCCUUUCAACAAUUUCACGUGCUUUUUAACUCUCUUUUCAAAAGUGCUUUUCAUCUUUCGAUCACUAUAAUUGUGCGAUAUCGGUCUCCGGCCAAUAUUUAGCUUUAGACGAAAUUUCCCACCCAUUAAGAGCUGCAUUCCCAAUCAACUUGACUCGUCGAAGGAGCUUCACAGGGACGGGUACACCCCAUACCAUACGGGAUUCUCACCUUAUAUGACGUCCCGUUCCAGGGCACUAAGAUGGGUACGGCUCCGGAAGCAUCUUCUGCAAAUUACAAUGCGGACCCGGAAGGAGCCAGCUUUCAAAUUUGAGCUCUCGCCGCUUCACUCGCCGUUACUGGGGCAAUCCCUGUUGGUUUCUUUUUGGAAGUAAAAAUCGUAACAAGGUUUCCGUAGGUGAACCUGCGGAAGGAUCAUUACCGAGUGAGGGCCCUCUGGGUCCAACCUCCCACCCGUGUUUAUUUUACCUUGUUGCUUCGGCGAGCCUGCCUUUUGGCUGCCGGGGGACGUCUGUCCCCGGGUCCGCGCUCGCCGAAGACACCUUAGAACUCUGUCUGAAGAUUGUAGUCUGAGAUUAAAUAUAAAUUAUUUAAAACUUUCAACAACGGAUCUCUUGGUUCCGGCAUCGAUGAAGAACGCAGCGAAAUGCGAUACGUAAUGUGAAUUGCAGAAUUCAGUGAAUCAUCGAGUCUUUGAACGCACAUUGCGCCCUCUGGUAUUCCGGAGGGCAUGCCUGUCCGAGCGUCAUUGCUGCCCUCAAGCACGGCUUGUGUGUUGGGCUCCGUCCUCCUUCCGGGGGACGGGCCCGAAAGGCAGCGGCGGCACCGCGUCCGGUCCUCAAGCGUAUGGGGCUUUGUCACCCGCUUUGUAGGACUGGCCGGCGCCUGCCGAUCAACCAAACUUUUUUCCAGGUUGACCUCGGAUCAGGUAGGGAUACCCGCUGAACUUAAGCAUAUCAAUAAGCGGAGGAAAAGAAACCAACAGGGAUUGCUCCAGUAAGGCGAGUGAAGCGGCAAGAGCUCAAUUUGAAGCUGGCUCCUUCGGGUCCGCAUUGUAUUUGCAGAGGAUGCUUCGGAGCGUACCCUCUAGUGCCUGGAACGGACGUAUAGGGGUGAGAUCCCUAUGGGAUGGGGGUCGCGCCGUGUGAACUCCUCAAGAGUCAGUUGAUUGGGAUGCGCUCUAAUGGGUGGUAAAUUUAUCUAAGCUAAUAUUGCCGGGACGAUAGGCACAAUAGAGUGAUCGAAGAUGAAAGCCUUUGAAAGAGAGUUAAAAGCCGUGAAAUGUUGAAAGGAAAACUGCGACAAAUCCUCGCGGGUCAGCUGCAUCGGGCGGGGACUCCCAGAGGGGCAGGUCGGUUGGCGGCGGCAAAGCUCUGAAGUAAACCCUCGGGCGCUAAACCGGGUGAUGGGCUUCCGACCAGAACGCUUCGUCAACUAGGAAAGUCGAGCACCCCUUGAACCGACAGGGUUAAUUACCGAGUUCGUGCAACCUGCGGAUGACGAACGGGGGACCUAGGGCCAUCCACCUAACUCCAGAUAAUAAGUAUUUGGACGAAUGGAAUUCCUAGGGAACAGAACUUGGGGUAAGCU